ensembl:lncRNA
GGGGGGGGCACAGCAGGGUGUACGUUCCGCUGAGGUGAAACGUUCUGGUAUGUUCUGCUGAGUUGAAACGUUCUGGUAUGUUCUGCUGAGUUGAAACGUUCUGGUAUGUUCCGCUGAGUUGAAACGUUCUGGUAUGUUCUGCUGAGGUGAAACGUUCUGGUAUGUUCCGCUGAGGUGAAACGUUCUGGUAUGUUCUGCUGAGGUGAAUCGUUCUGCUGAGGUGAAACGUUCCGGAAAAGAACAGAUAGAAAUGUAAUGAAUAGAGCUGACACGACACCCUUUUCUGUCAGCAUAUCCUGACAAGCAUAUCCGUUCUACUUGAUGCAUUUCUAUCUGAUUGUUUUCUGUAACAUUUGCACCCUCCUGAACAGACCCCGGUUAGAAGUAGUGUCACAAGUCACAUUAUUUCACAAAUGGCACUGGAACAUUCUUGAUUCAUUUUCUAGCUUCGCCUUCUUCCGCUUGCCAAUACAGCCUUCAUUAUGAUGUCAUCAGCUGCCAUUUUCUCAUUGACCUCCACCUGCAUCCCCCAGCUCAUUUUGGAGUGGAGGGUCACCAACCUCAUCAGGGCUGGGUUUACUGGCAUGACAGUGAGACAUUCUUCUGUGUCUGUGUGUUGUGUUCGUGUGUGUUUGCUACGUGUGUGCUUGUGCAUGUGUGAGUGAGAGAGUGUGUGUGUGAGUGCGUGCGUGUGUGAGUGCGUGUGUUCACACCUCAUCUACAGUAAGUUAUCUUCAGUGCCUUACACUGUACAGUAGGAACCAAAUCUUCUUUGUAGAUAGACAACACACACUGCACUGAAUAACGCUUUCAUAAUGUUUCCAUAAUGAUUUCUCUCCAACUGUUCUCUUCUCUCCAUCCAGUAUUGCCUCACCUACCAUCCUAUUCCUUCUCUCUCUGUGAUCGACGAGUAAGGUCUGGAGGGAGGGCAUGGGUGAAUGAAUAGGUGAUCGUUGUGUUGGGUCUGUCAUCAUUUUCUUUCUCUCUCUGUACAUUUGCUCUGUAAACUCUUCCUGUGUACAUCUUCCAUAAACUUUCUGAAACAAUCCGACCAUGUCCAUCAAUUUUCUCUUUUAUCGCCCUACAUUUAUUUUUCAACGUUUACAUUUCAAUCAUUUAGCAGAUGUUCUAAUCCAGAGUGACAUAGUGUCGACAACAUCACUCCCACUCUUCAAUUGUGCUUGAAGUCUCACUCAAGUGAUGUCCAUUUCCAUGUAAUACCAUACAUGAACACAAGGUGGUGCACUCAUGCUUUCAAAGGCCUAUGUGUAUGUUGUCAUUACAUUGUUUUCGCAGGAGAACGGGUGAGUAUCGUGUGUGUAUGUGCGCAUGUGCAUGUUUGGAGGCUUCAGUGUGUGUGUGUGUGUGUGUGUCUGCACGUGCCAAAACGCACACAGCGACAACACCGAGAUUCUUGACAACCUAGAGAUGUGUGGAGCGUCUUCUACUGUCACCAUGGAAACCCUCAAGGCCCCUCACUCUUCAUUCCAUACAGUCUCCCAACCAUCACCUUAUAAUAUCCCAAUACCAUCCAUUUGUCCCAUAGACACUGAUUUAAGAUCCAUUUUCAGUGUUAGCCUCCUUAUGGUGAAGCAUAGGAGUGAGGUGGGGUGAAUCUGCAGUAGAAACCAUAUCAGUCCAGUGCCACAGUAGAAACCAUACCAUAUCAGUCCAGUACCACAGUAGAAACCAUACCAUAUCAGCCCAGUGCCACAGUAGAAACCAUACCAUAUCAGUCCAGUGCCACAGUAGAAACCAUACCAUAUCAGUCCAGUGCCACAGUAGAAACCAUACCAUAUCAGUCCAGUGCCACAGUAGAAACCAUACCAUAUCAGUCCAGUGCCACAGUAGAAACCAUACCAUAUCAGUCCAGUGCCACAGUAGAAACCAUACCAUAUCAGUCCAGUGCCACAGUAGAGAACCAUACCAUAUCAGUCCAGUGCCACAGUAGAAACCAUACCAUAUCAGUCCAGUGCCACAGUAGAAACCAUACCAUAUCAGUCCAGUGCCA